GCUCUUUAUACGGGCCACCCCCUUUGUACGCCUAAUACAUCAAAUACCCCACACAUCAUAAAAAAAAUUUUUUAUACUUUAUAGUAUCUUAACAAAACUUCUACAAACUAAACAACCGCAAGGACCACCAACCUUUGCUAACCACAGAAAAGAUAAUAACUUAUCCCUUUUGCAUCAUGGAGGAGCAACAAAAGCGUAAAGAUCAUACUACUCCCGAAUAAUUGUGAGCUACUAAAUUCUAAAACUUAAUGUUUCAUAAUUAAAAAAACUAGUUCUUAGUAGAAGUAAGAAGCCUUUCACAUAAUUAGAUAGCUGGUUUUCCGCAAAAAGUAUCAAAGUACUGUCCUAUAGUAAUCUUAACUUCAAGCUAAACUAUAGGAAUCAACCUUUUAAGGACUAGCCUAAAAGAACAAUCUAAAAUAAUUCUCACACCUCACCUUUAAUGUAGACUUAAAAGCAGCCACCAAAACAGCGUUCUAGCUAAUAAAUUCCAACAACACAAUAUAAAAAUCAAAAUUUUAACUCAAAGCGAAAUCUAGUAUUAAACACCCUUUACUAACAAACAGGCAUCCUAUUAGUAUUCCAAAAAACAAAUAUUAAAAAUAUCAACAAAUUUAAUUCAAUAAACAACUUCUUACCCAAAUCAUACAGAGUGAACUCGGCAACAAAUUCCCCUGCCUGUUUACCAAAAACAUCGUCUUUUGCUUAUAUAUAUAAAAGAUAAUGCCUGCCCAGUGAAACUUUUAAACGGCCGCGUUAGCGUGAGCGUGCUAAGGUAGCGUAAUAAAUAGCCUUUUAAUUGAAGGCCAGUGAAUGGCAAGACUAGGGACACCUAUACCCUGUAUUAAAAAAUAAUUUUUCAUCUGAGUGAAAAGACCCAGAUAACAAAGGAAGACGAAAAGACCCCGCGGAACUUUACCUUUUCUAGUCUUUACAUGCUCAAAACAUAAAAACAUAAAGGUUUGAUUGGGGCAAUCUCGGAACCACCCAAACUUCCGACUUUUUACCCAAAGUAUACAAAACUUGAUAAGGGCCAAAAAGAAGUUACCCCGGGGAUAACAGCGUAAUCCAAUUUGAGAGUACACAUCGAAAGUUGGGUUUGCGACCUCGAUGUUGGCUUAAGGAUAUCCACAUAAGUGCAACCGCUAUGACAGGAUAGUCUGUUCGACUAUUAUACCCUUACACGAGCUGAGUUAAGACCGGCGCAAGCUAGGUUGGUUUCUAUCUCCUUAGCCUAAACAACUUUCUUGAUUGUACGAAAGGACCCCAAGAAAUGCAACACAUAUGAGCAUCCAUCCCUAAACAAUCCUAACUAUAAUCCUAACUUAUACUACAUUAAGCAAGUUAGUAUAAUAAUACCAUUG
rnacentral:rRNA from 1 species